UACGUAGGGUGCGAGCGUUGUCCGGAAUUACUGGGCGUAAAGAGCUCGUAGGUGGUUUGUCGCGUUGUUCGUGAAAACUCACAGCUCAACUGUGGGCGUGCGGGCGAUACGGGCAGACUGGAGUACUGCAGGGGAGACUGGAAUUCCUGGUGUAGCGGUGGAAUGCGCAGAUAUCAGGAGGAACACCGGUGGCGAAGGCGGGUCUCUGGGCAGUAAUUGACGCUGAGGAGCGAAAGCGUGGGGAGCGAACAGG
rnacentral:rRNA from 1 species